rnacentral:rRNA from 1 species
AUUGAACGCUGGCGGCAUGCUUUACACAUGCAAGUCGAACGGUAACAGGCCUUCGGCCUGGCGGCGAGUGGCGAACGGGUGAGUAAUAUAUCGGAACGUACCCAGAAGUGGGGGAUAACGUAGCGAAAGUUACGCUAAUACCGCAUACGAUCUAAGGAUGAAAGUGGGGGACCUUCGGGCCUCAUGCUUUUGGAGCGGCCGAUAUCUGAUUAGCUAGUUGGUGAGGUAAAGGCUCACCAAGGCGACGAUCAGUAGCUGGUCUGAGAGGACGACCAGCCACACUGGGACUGAGACACGGCCCAGACUCCUACGGGAGGCAGCAGUGGGGAAUUUUGGACAAUGGGGGCAACCCUGAUCCAGCAAUGCCGCGUGAGUGAAGAAGGCCUUCGGGUUGUAAAGCUCUUUUGUCAGGGAAGAAACGGUUCCAGCUAAUAUCUGGAGCUAAUGACGGUACCUGAAGAAUAAGCACCGGCUAACUACGUGCCAGCAGCCGCGGUAAGAC